rnacentral:lncRNA from 1 species
AAAGAAUUCCAUAAAUUUUAGAAAAUUUCCUUCUCUGAAAACUCAUGACAUGGAAAAGCCACAAAAUCAAAUUAUUGUUUUAUUUUUCAGUGAAUAAAAUUGAGAGGUUAAAACUGAAGCAAGGUAGGCAUAUGAAUAGAAUGUGGCCGCUGGAGAAGGGCUUUGUCCAACCAGGAGCAGUGGAGAAGUCUGGUAAAACUCAAGGACAUUGCCCAAGAGGACAAAGAAGGGUGAAGCAGAGCUCUAAGAAGAAAUGCAAAGGUCUAUCCGUGGCACAUUCUGACACACCACAGGCACAUCGGGAUGACUAGGAGACUACACUAUACCAAAGCAGUUUCAGAAUCAAGAAAAGAAACAAAUCAUUUUCACAAGGAAUUGGCAGAAACUGCAUUUGAAGUACAGUAACUAAGUAUUGUGAAUGAAUGGUGCUAAUAGCUAUUAUUAACAUAAGCUCGGUUCCAGCUUUCUGUAAAUUUCCAUUGCCGUGAUUUUUUAAAAUAUUUAAUAUAUAGGGAGAGUAAGAUUUAAAAAUUCUAGAUUAAAUCUCUGGACUGGUUUAAAAUAACUUUAGUUAUGAAGAGCUGUUCUCAUAAUUUCUAGAAUUCAAUUUACUUUCCCCAGUUUAAUGUAUUUCUUAAGAGAAGAAUUUUCCAGGUUUGAAUAGGUAUGCUUUAAAACAAAUAAUUGUUUAUGCCGGGGCUGGGGAUUUAGCUCAGCGGCAAAAGCGCCUGCCCGGCAAGCGCAAGGUCGUGAGUUCGGUUCCCGGUACCGGAGAAAAACCAAAAAAAAAAAAAAAAAAAAAAAAUUGUUUAUGCCUUUCCCUUUCUAUGUUUAAAUUUGAGAAAAUAUGAUGAUGCUUAAUUCACUGUCUUUUUUAUACAGUGUGUUUCUCUUUUGUAAUAUCUGCAUUUACUUUGCCAUUUUUAAUGGCAUUCCAGAAUAACAUCUGUCAUUCCAGAAUAACAUCCGACCCAUUCCUGCCCCACUUCCUGCCACUCAUUCCCAUUUCCAUCUCACUAAUAAAACAUGCCAUCAGUGAGACCAAAAUUAUCGAAAUCUAAAAUGCACUCCAAUUCAUAACAGGUGAGCUGAAUUCUUUUCACAAAUUUUCUUCAACUGAAAAGUAUAGGUAGGCAAUAUGACAUAGUAAAAGUCAGUAACUCCUGAAAUUCAAAUGAUGGGCUACUCAGGAAGACGUGUGUGUUUUGGGUACUCUUCACCACAAACCAACUGCUAUAUUUUGGACCUGGACUGUCCCUAGAAGGCUCAUGUUUUAAAGGGGUGGUCCUAAACGUGGCACUAUUAGAAGGUGACGGAAAUCAGUAAGAGCUAGAGCCUAGCAGAGUGUCCUGGAGUCCUGGAGUUGCACCCUCAACAAGGACUCUGGGGCGCUGGUCUCUUAGUUUCUCUGUUUUGACUUCUGAGCGGCCAGGAGUUGAGCGAGAUGCUCAUCUUCAGGCUCCUCGGCGUGGCAUUCUCAGCACAGCCCCAGAAGCAAGAGGGCCUGCCGACCACGGCCACAGCCUCUGGAGCCACAAACCAAAACAGAGCUUUCCUCUUUUUCAACUGGUUUAUCUCAGGUGUUUGUGACAGUGGUGAAAAAUCAACUAACAGAAGAUAAUGCUUCUCAGUCAGGGUCCACACAGGGGCUCAUGGGUAUUUUUUUAUUUAGAAAGAGAAUUCAAUCUUUGGAACACUGGAGGACUGGACUUACAAAAACCUAUUAUUUUUAGUAUCUUCAGCAAGAAUUUUUUUUUGUUUUUUUGAGACUCUCACUACGUAGUUCAGGCUGGCCUUGAGCUCACUUUGCAGCCCAGGCUACUCUCAAAUUCGCAACAAUCCUCCUGCCUCAGCCUCCCAAGUGCUGGGAUUACAGGCGUGCACCACCACACCCAGUUUCUCCAGCAAGAACAUUAUUUAUUCAAUUAAGGGGCACAUAUCCUUACCUUAGUCUCAUGUGGUAUAUUACAUGUGCAGAUUUCAAUAUGGAUCAUUAUAAACAUAAAUUAGUAGAUGCUAAUGCCUUUAAUUCUAGCACUUUGGGAGGGAGAGGCACAUGGAUCCCAAGUUUUAGUACUACCUGAAUAAUUUAAUGAGACCUGUCUCAAGAAAUGAAUGAAUAAAUUUAUAUAGCAGUAGAGAUAUAGCUCAGUGCAAAGUCCCUGAAUUCAAUCUCUCAUACUGAAAAAAAGGAUACGUUCAUUAGAAAGAACAGGGAA